GGAGGGUGCAAGCGUUGUUCGGAAUUAUUAGGCGUAAAGCGCGUGUAGGUGGUUAUUAAAGGUCAGAUGUGAAAAUUCUGGGGCUCGACCCAGAACCUGCAUUUGAAACUCAAUAACUUGAGUAUAGGAGAGGGAAGCGGAAUUCCUAGUGUAGCGGUGAAAUGCGUAGAUAUUAGGAAGAACACCGGUGGCGAAGGCGGCUUCCUGGCCUAAAACUGACACUGAGACGCGAAAGCGUGGGGAGCAAACAGGAUUAGAUACCCUGGUAGUCCACGCUGUAAACGAUGGGCACUUGGUGUAGGAGGUAUCCAAUCCUUCUGUGCCGAAGCUAACGCAUUAAGUGCCCCGCCUGGGGACUACGGCCGCAAAGGCUG
rnacentral:rRNA from 1 species